AUUGAACGCUGGCGGCAUGCCUUACACAUGCAAGUCGAACGGUAACGGGCCUUCGGGUGCCGACGAGUGGCGAACGGGUGAGUAAUGUAUCGGAACGUACCUUUCAGUGGGGGAUAACGUAGCGAAAGUUACGCUAAUACCGCAUAUUCUGUGAGCAGGAAAGCAGGGGAUCGCAAGACCUUGCGCUGAUUGAGCGGCCGAUAUCAGAUUAGCUAGUUGGUGAGGUAAAGGCUCACCAAGGCGACGAUCUGUAGCGGGGUCUGAGAGGAUGAUCCGCCACACUGGAACUGAGACACGGUCCAGACUCCUACGGGAGGCAGCAGUGGGGAAUUUUGGACAAAUGGGGGCAACCCUGAUCCAGCCAUGCCGCGUGAGUGAAGAAGGCC
rnacentral:rRNA from 1 species